AUUUGGUGUGUCACUGUAGACAAC
rnacentral:siRNA from 1 species